UGCAGUCGAACGCCCCGCAAGGGGAGUGGCAGACGGGUGAGUAACGCGUGGGAACAUACCCUUUCCUGCGGAAUAGCUCCGGGAAACUGGAAUUAAUACCGCAUACGCCCUACGGGGGAAAGAUUUAUCGGGGAAGGAUUGGCCCGCGUUGGAUUAGCUAGUUGGUGGGGUAAAGGCCUACCAAGGCGACGAUCCAUAGCUGGUCUGAGAGGAUGAUCAGCCACAUUGGGACUGAGACACGGCCCAAACUCCUACGGGAGGCAGCAGUGGGGAAUAUUGGACAAUGGGCGCAAGCCUGAUCCAGCCAUGCCGCGUGAGUGAUGAAGGCCUUAGGGUUGUAAAGCUCUUUCACCGGAGAAGAUAAUGACGGUAUCCGGAGAAGAAGCCCCGGCUAACUUCGUGCCAGCAGCCGCGGUAAUACGAAGGGGGCUAGCGUUGUUCGGAAUUACUGGGCGUAAAGCGCACGUAGGCGGAUAUUUAAGUCAGGGGUGAAAUCCCAGAGCUCAACUCUGGAACUGCCUUUGAUACUGGGUAUCUUGAGUAUGGAAGAGGUAAGUGGAAUUCCGAGUGUAGAGGUGAAAUUCGUAGAUAUUCGGAGGAACACCAGUGGCGAAGGCGGCUUACUGGUCCAUUACUGACGCUGAGGUGCGAAAG
rnacentral:rRNA from 1 species